GACAGAGGAUGCAAGCGUUAUCCGGAAUGAUUGGGCGUAAAGCGUCUGUAGGUGGCUUUUCAAGUCCGCCGUCAAAUCCCAGGGCUCAACCCUGGACAGGCGGUGGAAACUACCAAGCUGGAGUACGGUAGGGGCAGAGGGAAUUUCCGGUGGAGCGGUGAAAUGCAUUGAGAUCGGAAGGAACGCCCGUGGCGAAAGCGAGGUCCUGGACGUCUACUGACGCUGAGACGCGAAAGCUAGGGGAGCAAACGGG
rnacentral:rRNA from 1 species